GUCUGUACAGGGGGAGAGAGAAAGGGUUAAAAAUGUAGACCAAUAGGAAAGCCAGAGGCGGAGCCUACCUGUUUAGCCCGAGGUUUGAGUUAGUUGAUGGUGGGUAGUUGGUUGGUUUUAGUGGGUUGGUUGGUUGGGAAAGGCAGUUGGAAAAGCAGUUGGCAGACAGUUGGAAAUAAGAGAGACAGUUAGUGCAGUUGGUUCUUGUGUGAGGGGAGGUAGAAGAGAUGGAGCAGGAUAAAAUAAGACUAAGAAGGUAAAGAGCAACAACAUUUGGAAUGCAGUUAAAGUUUGUUUGUGUCUGAAAUAAACUACACUCUUCUUUGUUAACUUGAGAACCUGACUGAGACUAAGUAAUUUACCGGGGAGGACCUGGUUGGUGGCAGCGGAUUAGUGGUGUACGGGUCAAUAGUCCGUGAGACGACAGGGGGUUCUGUACGAAUGCCACAGUCGUCUAGUGCAAUCGCCUUCAAUGAAGAAAUCUCAACUAAAGCAUCCAUGACAGAUGGCUUCCAACCUCUGCUUAUAAACGUCUCAGGAAGGAGAGUCCACCACCUCCCAAGGGAGUCCAUGCCUACUGUCAGAAAUCCUUCCUGAUGUUUUGGACAGGAAAAUUGGCUUCCAGGUGGAAAGAUCCAAAUUAGAAACAGAAUUGUUAGAACCCAAAACUAAGAAUUUGUCAAGAAUGUAUAACUUGCUGCUGAAAUGGAAUACUCAGGAUGAAACGGUAAAAUCGGCUAUGAUUAAAUGGGCACAGGACGUUGGACAUAACAUUAUGUUUGCUGACUGGGAACAGUUAUGGACCACAGGUAUGAAAUUUACGGCAUGUAAUGCCUUAAGAGAGAAUAUUAUGAAAAUGAUAUACAGGUGGUACAUAACCCCAGUCAAGCUUGCGAAAAUCUAUCACUUGCCCGAUAACAAAUGUUGGAAAUGUAAAGAAACUGAAGGUACAUUUUUUCACCUUUGGUGGACGUGCCCAAAGAUUAAGGUUUUCUGGGAAAUGAUAUAUAAUGAAUUAAAAAGGUAUUUAAGUAUACCUUCCCCAAGAAACCAGAGGCCUUUCUCCUGGGCAUAGUGGGCCAAAUGGUGUUAAAAAAGGAUAGAACUUUCUUUAUGUAUGCAACAACAGCAGCAAGAAUACUCAUCGCAAAGUAUUGGAAGACACAAGAACUUCCCACGCUGGAGGAAUGGCAGAUGAAACUUAUGGACUAUAUGGAAUUGGCGGAAAUGACUGGCAGAAUCCGUGACCAGGGAGAAGAGUCGAUGGAGGAAGACUGGAAGAAAUUCAAAGACUAUCUUCAGAAACACUGCAAAAUUAAGGAAUGUUAGAGUGAUGUUGGAUUGAAAAUAAGUGGUUUCCAGCUGUACAGGUUAAAGAUAAGGAUAGAUUAAGAUUAAAGAUUAAGAUUAAAGAUGUUUAAAGAAAUGGAAAUUUGAUAAUAAAAGGGAAAAAUUUAAAGCUAUAUGAUAUUAAGAGUAAGGAUUAGGUUUAAAAAAGUUGAAGUUAUAGAUUUUAACAUUUUAUUAAAUUAAAGUGUGGGAUUAUAAUAGUGGAAAAGAAACUGCUGGAUAAAUAAUGUGGAUUGGAAUACAAAGAGGGAGGUAUGAGGAAGUCCAGAAAAUAAGUAAUUUAAAAUUGGAAAUGGAAAAGAGAGUUUGUUUUUAAUUGUUAUGUUUUGUGUUUUUAUUGUUGAGUUUUGUAUUGUUUUUUGUGUGUGUUGUUUUUCUUUUUUCUUUGUUUAAAACCUUAAUAAAAAAUUAUUAAAAAAAAAAAAAGAAAUCCUUCCUGAUGUUUAGUCAGAAUCUCCUUUCUUGUAACUUGAAUCCAGUGUGGUGACCACACAGGGUCCCCGGACGUUUCACCGUCUAUUGAUCCCUGUGCCACCACUUUAUUUCUCGCUGGCACCACCCAGGCCCUACCUGGUACAAUACUGAGUCCAGCCAGGGUUAAAUCGGAACAUAAACUUUUGUUUAUUUAUUGCAGUUUAACAAGCGUGUGGUUUCAUAAACGGUAUUGGUCAAUUACAAUAAUGGGGUGCCUAUCCAGACCUAUAACUCCCGCUCUCACUCACUAAACCACCUCUCAGAUAUUUACUUGUCUUCCUAGCCCCUAACUAUUCCUGGCUCAGCUUAUUUCUCUACACUAACUCAACCUACCCACAAACUCUAUCCCACUCCAACCAACCACCCAACUUCCAAUGAACUCCCCCCUUCGCCCCUCCCAGAGCUGGUUUUAUAGACCCUCUGACUCCACCCCCUGGGUUCUGAUUGGGUAACCUGUUUAACUAUUUCACCUCCAGCACUCUCAUAUGUUAAUGUCACAUCCAGUGAUUUGGGUCCUAACUUCCAGAGCAGGAGAAAACAAGCUUGCUCCAUCUUCCAUGUGACAGCCCUUUAGAUAUUUGAAGGUGGCUAUCAUAUCUCCUCUCAGUCUCCUCUUUUCCAGGUUGUGAACCCUGGCCACCCUGGUCCAAUUCCAACCUGUGACAUAACCAUGCGUGUUUCUGUUCCCUCCUACAACUUCUAGAGUGGGACUGCCUUAAGCAUGGUGUGUUCUCAGUGAAAUCCUUAGAGUCUGGUUUGCACUGCAACAGUUCUGGUGGUCUCUCUUCUUCCAUCCUACCCAGUGGAGUAAAAUUUCUCUGCAUUUCUUUUAAAUUCCCUGGUUUAAAGAUCUGGUUUAUCAGGAACAGAGAAUACAAAUGGCAUUUCAGCAUCGCUAAGCAUUGAGGGUAAAUCCAAGUCACAGUGAUGCAGUUAGAAAGAGUAUUGAUUUAGCUUAAGGGAAUCACAUGGCAACCAAAUAUACAAGAAAGAAAGUUACUGUAUUCCUGUAAACAAAAAACACACAGACUUUUGUUGGCUUCAUUUGAUAAAAGGGACAAUGUUCAUACCAGCAGUUUCAGGAUACUAUAAGAUAAUUGUCUAUUUUCUGGUUAGGGUCUAGAAGGUCAACCACUUACCUUUAUGCCCAAUGCUUGUUCUUAGAGGCAACAAAAGAUGAGAAAGCAAUAUCUCAUUACAGUAGCUUUCCAUUCAAGCAGGACCUGCUAAAGAACCAGAUUCCUGUCCUUUAACAGGGAAAACCAAUUGGGUAGAUGAAAGAUGAAUUGUUAACCCAGCUGAAUCCAAAACUGAUUAUUAAAUCUCAUUGAAAUGAGGAACACUGACGUAGGGAGGAAUCACUCCACCAACAUUGAUUUCUCAUUUUCCCCAGUCUUAAAUUCAGUUCUCUCCCCCAUUUCUGCAUCAGUUUGCAAACUUUUCUUUAAACCUGCUUGAAAAUUUAUAUGCAUUUAUUUUAGCAUUCCUCUUUUUCGCAAGCAAAUUUUCCUCUACUAUAAUGUUAUUUUCAUCAAUUUACGUAUUUUAUGCUCAAAUUUCCUCAAUAUAAGAGCUGCAUCUCAAAUAUUCUACAAAUAUUUGUAAAAAUGCAGAUAUCAAAUGAGAGCUGUGUUUUGGUUUGGUAGUUAAGGAGGUGAACUGGGUUAAUUCCUACACUGAAGUAAUAGUCCUGGUGUCAGGUAGCAAAGUUUUAGUUGUUGCGCUGCGUGCUGCAUUCUUCAUUUUAGAAUUGUGAAUCGUAUCACUGGAAAUGGUGGGCCUCAGGUUUGAUCAGAUCUUUUAUUUGAUAACUGAAUACUGCACCAACUUAUUUGUCAACCCUGAAAAACAAAUAAAUAGGGAGCAGAUAACCUGCUAUUUGCAUUUCUAGGAAAUUUGAAACACAGUAUUAAGGAGAAAGGAUUGAUCAAAGUUCAGUUUUAUUGCUUCAAUCUUCUCCCUUCUUUCAUUAUGUUUUAAUGAGAUGAGCUUUUCAAAAGCGAUUUCACAGCCUUGAGUAAUGUGCCUCCAAGAUUUUCUCCUGGAUUCCAAAAGGAAUAAAUAGAAUAUCUAAGAAUAAACCUAGCAGCAUACAGUUCAUGGGCAACAGGUAAUCAAAGCAUGCCAGAGCGAUUAGAAUGGACUACUUCUUUGGAUGCUCUGCAAACAGCACCUUUACUCUGGACAGUUAUCAAAAAUCAAGUAAGAAAUCAGAUGGAUCAUUACACUUAAGUCUGAGAUUUCAUGCUCGGAGAGCAUUGGGAUCCAGACAUUGUCUACUUAGCUAAAUAAUUACAGUGGAACCUCUACUCACGUACGGAAUCUGUUCCAGAGGUCCAUUCGUGAAUCGAUCUGGGUCACUAGUAGAAGCGCCGUUCUGCGCAUGCGCAUUCAGCGACAGCACCAUUCUGUGCAUGUGCAGACGGCAGAAGCCACUUCUGCCAUAGCUGUCAAUAUUCCCCCCCUUUUAAGGGAAAUUCCCUUAUUCCGAGUAGGAUUCCUCGCAAGAAAAGGGAAAAGUUGACAGCUAUGGCUUCUGUGCGUGUGCGAAACGCUGCAAACCUGGUAUUUACUUCCGGGUUUGCAGCGGUUGUGAGUUGAAUUGUUCGCGAGUAGGGGCGGUGGUAAGUUGAGGUUCUACUGUAAUAGAAAAAUAAGCUUAUUACUGAGCUAGAUCUACCAGUGGUCUGAUGUUUUCUAACACAGCUUUCUAUCUUCUAAAACACAGUGGCACUUACUUACAAAUAUACAUACAAAGGAAGGUGUUUUCUACCAAGGGAGGCUAUUGGUCCUUCUACUUCAGUAUGGGCUACACAGCCAGGAGAGGCAGGUGGUGCAGGAUGAAGAUGUGAAUCUUGACUCCCAAUGUCGCUACUGUGAGGGUUAAGGCAAUAAGGAGGUUGGUCCUGUAUGGGGGCCUCAGCGGAGGAGGAACCUGUUCAAUGUUGAUCUCCCCACUGCCUACCUCCUCACUUUUUCCUCGCACUAAGCAUCAGCAGUGAUUGGGAUUGCAAAUCACAGAGUGUAUCGAUUUUCUUAUUCCUCAUGAAUCUGGGUUCUGCCUAAAGGCCAGUUCUCAUAAAUCUGUUCUAAAUGUUCUGAACAUCUGAAGGCAGAUGUCAGGGGCUGGACUGAGGAGAAAUGGUGGGAGUUGUCCCCCCCCCUUCUCCUGGACCUUCCCAAGGGCAGGAGGACAGUCUUGAUUUAGAACAGUGGUUUGCAGAGGGUCAUAGUCCAGAGGGGAAAAGCUGGGAAAUACUGGGUGAGGAACAGCUAGAAGAGGACUUACCAGGAGAGAGACAGCUAGCAGAUUCAGUGUCCUUGGACAGUAUUCCUGACCCCCCCCUUGCCUAAGACUAGACGGGCUUUGAGAGUGAUAGAACAGAGAGCUCAGUGGCAACAACCUCAGAUUACCCGAUGAAGGAGUGAUGUAGAUUAAUGGGGAUGGAGGGGGCGAACCUUUACGGGGAGCAACGCCAUUUCUAGAGAGAUAUGCAUUCCUUUGUCUCUUGCUGUGAUUAUUAAAGAAACUAACUGGUUAGAAUGUUUCUUUCGUUUGAUCUGCUUCUUUACUGCCACUGGGGGAGGGAUCUGGUUCUCCGAAGCCUGACAGCAGCCUUGUAUAGGGACAUUUUUUAAUCUGUAAUGUUUUAUUACGUUUUUAUAUAUCGUCAUCAUCAUCAUCAUCAUCAUCAAACCUUUAUUGGCAUCACUUACAAACAUUCAGAAAAUAGGCCUGUGCGAUCUCAUCGCCAUUUAAACAGUACAUUCAUUUGCCAAAGGGAAGAAGAGGCGAGCAAUCUAUUUCAGUUUUUAUAUAUGUUGGAAACCAUCCAGAGUAACUGGGGCAACCCAGUUGGAUGGGCAAAGUACUAUUAUCAUUAUUAUUACUACAGCUGCUGUAAUCAUUCAAGCACCCAUUCAAUUGAGCCGUAUUCAGUCCACGCAAUGUUCUGUUUUUCACUCUUUUCCAGAAGCAAAACUGAUGGAUUUUGAAGCACAGAACGCAUGGACUUCUUUUCAGUGCACAGCGAAGUUCCACUACUUGAAAUUAUUCUGUUCUGUGUAUUUUCCUGCACUUCCAGGUCUCUUAUGUGUGGCUUGAUCAGCAAGUCUUUAUUGUUCUGCUUUUACCAUCGCAAAGGAAUUACAUGAAACUAAAAUAUAAAACAAAAUCGUAAAUCUCCUACUGCAAUAAAACAUAGAGCAUAAAGAUGCAAAAUGUACACAGGGAGUUUCACCACCAUAAAGCAGAG